GGCCCGUUAGCUCAGCUGUUUAGAGCGUCGUGCUAAUAACGCGAAGGUUGGUUCGAUCCCCUCACGGGCCA
rnacentral:tRNA from 1 species